CUUUCAGUUUUUUUGCCUCAGCAUUAGAUCUUGCUGUCUCUUUAAAUCUCACAUGUAGUUAGGAUUAGGGUCUGUAGCUGUGUAUUAGUUCCAUCUUAACUUUGCUCAUUAAAAAAAAUAGUGGGGCAACCCUUCCUUUCCUAAACUUCUACUGCAAAUCUGCUUUGUGACUUUAUUGGGCAAGACCUAAAAGAUGGUCUAAUUUCCCCCCAGCACAGCUGAAUAUCCUUGUUCUUUCGGCUAUUGGUAUUCUGCAGCAGCUGUCUGAUGGAGAUGGAGAGCUCCAACAAGGAUGGGCCGGAACUCCAGCUGCUGUGAAAAAAGUGUGACUUGUUAGGUCAUUUUAUCACAUCGUAAUGUUUGGAGUCAAGACUGGCAGAUUUCACCUCCACUUUCAACUCCAGCCAGAGACAAACACCGGCCUUGCCGGCUGAGGUAUCCACCUUUGAUCGAUGGCCAGGAAAAAGCAAGCAGACAAGUCCUGGGAGAACAUGGCUGAUCUGCUAAGUAGACCAAGACUUUGGC